rnacentral:rRNA from 1 species
UUAAUUGAAGAGUUUGAUCAUGGCUCAGAUUGAACGCUGGCGGCAGGCCUAACACAUGCAAGUCGAGCGGCAGCACAAGGGAGUUUACUCCUGAGGUGGCGAGCGGCGGACGGGUGAGUAAUGCCUAGGGAUCUGCCCAGUCGAGGG